AUUGAACGCUGGCGGCAGGCCUAACACAUGCAAGUCGAGCGAGCGGCGGACGGGUGAGUAAUGUCUGGGAAACUGCCUGAUGGAGGGGGAUAACUACUGGAAACGGUAGCUAAUACCGCAUACCAUCGGAUGUGCCCAGAUGGGAUUAGCUAGUAGGUGGGGUAAUGGCUCACCUAGGCGACGAUCCCUAGCUGGUCUGAGAGGAUGACCAGCGACACUGGAACUGCGACGCGGUCCAGACUCCUACGGGAGACAGCAGUGGGGAUUAUUGCACAAUGGGCGCAAGCCUGAUGCAGCCAUGCCGCGUGUCUGAAGAAGGCCUUCGGUUUGUAGAGCACUUUCAGCGAGGAGGCGUUACUCGCAGAAGAAGCACCGGCUAACUCCGUGCCAGCAGCCGCGGUAAUAC
rnacentral:rRNA from 1 species